UACGGAGGGGACUAGCGUUGUUCGGAAUUACUGGGCGUAAAGCGCACGUAGGCGGAUUUGUUAGUCAGGGGUGAAAUCCCGAGGCUCAACCUCGGAACUGCCUUUGAUACUGCAAAUCUCGAGUCCGGAAGAGGUGAGUGGAAUUCCUAGUGUAGAGGUGAAAUUCGUAGAUAUUAGGAAGAACACCAGUGGCGAAGGCGGCUCACUGGUCCGGUACUGACGCUGAGGUGCGGAAAGCGUGGGGAGCAA
rnacentral:rRNA from 1 species